ACCAGGGCUACACACGUGCUACAAUGGUCGGUACAAAGGGUUGCUACCUAGCGAUAGGAUGCUAAUCUCAAAAAGCCGAUCGUAGUCCGGAUUGGAGUCUGCAACUCGACUCCACGAAGUCGGAAUCGCUAGUAAUCGCGGAUCAGAAUGCCGCGGUGAAUACGUUCCCGGGCCUU
rnacentral:rRNA from 1 species